rnacentral:rRNA from 1 species
UACGAAGGGGGCUAGCGUUGUUCGGAAUCACUGGGCGUAAAGCGCACGCAGGCGGCUUGAUAAGUCAGGGGUGAAAUCCCGGAGCUCAACUUCGGAAUUGCCUUUGAUACUGUCUAUCUUGAGUCCGGGAGAGGUGAGUGGAACUGCGAGUGUAGAGGUGAAAUUCGUAGAUAUUCGCAAGAACACCAGUGGCGAAGGCGGCUCACUGGUCCGGUACUGACGCUGAGGUGCGAAAGCGUGGGGAGCAAACAGG